GCUCAAAUUUGUAAUCUGGCGUCUUCGACGUCCGAGUUGUAAUCUCGAGAAGUGUUUUCCGUGAUAGACCGCAUACAAGUCUCUUGGAACAGAGCGUCAUAGUGGUGAGAACCCAGUACACGAUGCGGAUGCCUAUUACUUUGUGAUACACUUUCGAAGAGUCGAGUUGUUUGGGAAUGCAGCUCAAAUUGGGUGGUAAAUUCCAUCUAAAGCUAAAUAUUGGCGAGAGACCGAUAGCGAACAAGUACCGUGAGGGAAAGAUGAAAAGCACUUUGGAAAGAGAGUUAACAGUACGUGAAAUUGUUGGAAGGGAAACACAUGCAGUGAUACUUGCUAUUCGGGGCAACUCGAUUGGCAGGCCCGCAUCAGUUUUUCGGGGCGGAAAAUCGUAGAGAGAAGGUAGCAGUUUCGGCUGUGUUAUAGCUCUUUACUGGAUUCGCCCUGGGGGACUGAGGAACGCAGCGUGCUUUUAGCAUGAGCUUCGGCUUAUCCACGCUUAGGAUGCGGGUUUAUGGCUGUAUAUGACCCGUCUUGA
rnacentral:rRNA from 1 species